rnacentral:misc_RNA from 1 species
GGAAGGAUCAUUAACACGUAUCCAAACGUAAACCCCCCCGUGAACCUUAACCCUGCUCUCCUGACGUUCGAGAAAAAGCUAAAGAAACGCCCCCUGGUAUCUCACAUGUUUGUUAUGACUCUGUGGGCCGUUUCUUGAAACUUUUUCGAAGGACGGAGUGUGGAUAGAUGCGGGUCGCAAGUAAGGCUUGGUUGCCCCUGCGGCUGCUGUCUGUCAGUGUCAGCGGUGGUAGUGGGAUAUCUGCGGUUGGUGUCUGAAAGCGUCAUCAACUGUGGAUAACUGAUCGCUAGAUGAGGAGCCCCCUGGUAUCUCACAUGUUUGUUAUGACUCUGUGGGCCUCCUCGCGACCGAUCAGACCGUUUUGGCCACACGCCAAAAUUUUUCGGGCAAGUCUAGGCUGUAAUGGCCCCUAGUUAAACUCCACAAUACCCAAAUUCGGGGGUGUCGAGGAAACUCCCACCCCAAAAAAAACCGAACAACUGUUAACAAUGGAUAUCUUGGUUCUCGCAACGAUGAAGAACGCAGCGAAAUGCGAUACGUAAUGCGAAUUGCAGAAUUCAGUGAAUCAUCGAAUCUUUGAACGCAAAUUGCGCUCUCGGGUUACCCCCAAGAGCACACCUCUCUGAGUGUCGGGUUAAACCAAAUGUCACCAAUUUAUUGGUGUACGACAGUCUGAGGGUAAGGAGUCUCGGCUUCUUUCCCUUCAAAUUCAAGCCGCACGAUUGCGUGUGUUAGUGGCAAGUUGUUUUCGGUAACCCCGAAUCCGAUCCACCGACCCCAUUCAUGCAGCCCAAAGAAACAACGAAAAAGAUAAAGGUACGAGUGAGAUUGUUGAUCACGGGGAACGGGAAGAAGUGACGACGAGCUCGGAUGACCUGUUGACGUGUUCGUGGCGCAAGCUGUGGACGUGAUGAUGGGAUGUCUGGAUUUGUUGACGCGGGAGACUGUUCUUUGAGACUGAUGGUCAAGCUUGUGCCUGGUUCUUUUUCAUUCUAUGAAUUAGACCUCAGAUGAAGUGGGAAGACCCCCUGAAUUUAAGCAUAUUAUUAAGGGGAGGAAAAGAAACUAACAAGGAUUCCCCUAGUAACGGCGAGUGAAGCGGGAAAAGCUCAAAUUUAAAAUCCGCUGGUCUAACAGCCGGCGGAGUUGUAAUCUAGAGAGGGUCUCUCAGUGCCAGCCUGGUUAUAAGUCCCUUGAAACGGGGCAUCAUAGAGGGUGAGAAUCCCGUCUUUGAGCCGGAGCUAAGUACGUACGAGGACCUUUCCAAGAGUCGCGUUGCUUGGGAGUGCAGCGCUAAAUGGGUGGUAAAGUUCAUCUAAAGCUAAAUACUGGCGAGAGACCGAUAGCGAACAAGUACCGUGAGGGAAAGAUGAAAAGAACUUUGAAAAGAGAGUUAAAAAGUACUUGAAAUUGUUAACAGGGAAGGGGAGAAAACCAGUCAUUCUUCAGUUCCAUUCGCUUUUCCUUCGGGAGGGGUUACUUGGGGCAGAAGAGGGUCGACAUCAUUUGGGGUCUUCGCAGAAAGUGUUUGGGUUGGUGCGUCUCUUCGGAUUCGUUUAACCUGUUCGCCCUACGUUGAUCCUGGAUGAGGAGUGAUAGCCCGCGCCUCUUCGGGGGCACGGUACUCUGAGGUCUAUUUGCCCUAGCGCGUGAGAGAACAAAGUUCUGUCUGUGCGAAAGGUGGAUACUGCUUUGGAUGUGCCAGUUGCUGGGCUCGCGAUGUCGACGAAAUGGUUCUCUUCCACCCGUCUUGAAACACGGACCAAGGAGUCUAACAUAUAUGCGAGUAUUUGGGUGACAAACCCUGAUGCGUAAUGAAAGUAAAGAGCCGCAAGGCUUGAGGUAGGAAUCCUGCCCUCGGGUGGGAGGCACUAUCGACCGAUCGUUCGCUUGCGGAAGAUUUGAGUAAUAGCAUAUAUGUUGGGACCCGAAAGAUGGUGAUCUAUGCCUGAACAGGGUGAAGCCAGGGGAAACUCUGGUGGAAGCUCGUAGCGAUACUGACGUGCAAAUCGUUCGUCUGAUUUGGGUAUAGGGGCGAAAGACUAAUCGAACCAUCUAGUAGCUGGUUCCCUC